CACCCAUUCGCUAUCUCUCUCUUCCCAAUGAAGCGACGCGGAACAGCUGCCGGCAUUGGCAGUGAGUCGGUAAUUUUGCGGACCGUCUCGCUCCGAAGGUGAAAAAGAAGGCUGCGUGUCGCACACACACGCACACUAAAAAGGUAAACAUAAUCGACGAGACUGGGAAGUUUUGAAGAGGCUAUAAUAAUACUCCUGCAAGGUGGGCACCGAUCUAACGACUUGCUGCACAAUGGUUAAAAUCGAAGACUUUAAGCUAUCGUGCGAACUGGUGGGCCACAAGCUAGACGUUCGAGCCGUAGCCGAAGGUGCGGGCUUCAUUGUGUCUGGUUCGCGUGAUAAAACGGCCAAAGUUUGGCAAGCUUUCGGCAAACAUUACGAGGACAAGGAAACGCUCAAGAAUCACACCAACUACGUCGGUGCCGUGCUGGUGGUUGAAUCGAACGGAUGGAUCUGCACGGGCAGUAACGAUGCAACGAUUUGCAUUUUUCCGUACCCCGGCAGUGGUGCGCACCCGACGGAACCGAUUGGCGUGUUGAAGGGCCACACGUCCACGGUGUGUGCGUUGGCAGCGGGCCAUAAUGCGAGCACGCUCAUCUCCGGCAGCUGGGAUAAGACGGCCAAAAUCUGGACCAACGCUCCCGGGUCCAGCACGAACAUUACGCUGGUCGGGCAUGAGGCAGCCGUGUGGGCCGUCGCCUGCCUCCCGAACGGACGGUACGCUUCCGGCUCGGCAGACAAAAACAUUGUCGUGUGGAGCGAAAAGGGCGAGAAGCUGGUGGUGCUGAAGGGCCACAAGGACUGUGUGCGGGGACUGUGUCCGUUGCCAAAGGGUGGAUUUUUGAGCUGCUCGAACGAUGCCACCAUCCGGCACUGGAGUGAUACGUACGAGUGUGUGAAAGAGUUCCACGGGCACAGCAACUACAUCUACAGCAUUGGCCGGUCGGAUGCGUGGGGCGAUGAGGUGUUUGUUACGGGCGGGGAGGACAGCACGAUACGCAUGUGGCACCUGCGGGAAGGUGCGCUCGGCGACGCGCUCCAAAUGCCGGCCCAAUCCGUGUGGGCUGUGGCGGGGCUAAAAAGCGGCGACAUCGUUGCCGGUACGAGUGAUGCGAUCGUGCGCGUGUUUAGCGCCAACCCGGAGCGUAUAGCGCCGGAAGAGACGUUGGCCGCAUACCGGGUGGCGGUCGAGGUGCGUCAAUCGGAAUCGGCCAAACAGCUGGGCGGUAUGAAUGUGAACGAUCUGCCCGGGCCCGAAUCGUUGCUGUCCGAGGGUCGCGACGGGCAGACGCGUAUCGUGCGCCAUCCGAAUGGGAAGAUCCUGUGCUACCAGUGGACCAACGGGAAGUGGGACUGUGUCGGCGACGUGAUGGGUGCCAGUGACGGUGAUACCGGGAAGCAGCUGUACGAGGGUCGCGAGUACGAUUACGUGUUUUCCGUAAACCUGUCGGACGAUGCGCCCAACCUAAAGCUGCCGUACAAUCGGGGCGAAGAUCCGUGGUUUGUGGCGCAGCGGUUCAUCCACAAGCACAACCUGCCGCAAGCGUACCUCGACCAGGUGGCGAACUUUAUCGUUAAAAAUUCCGACAGUGCACCGGUGGCCAGUGCGCUGGCGAACAGUUACUACGAUCCGUUUACGGGCGGCUCCCGGUACGUGCCCGGUUCAUCCGGUGGCCAGUUUCAACCGUCCGCCGCCAAUACCGACCCAUUUACGGGCGCCUCGAGCUACACGACCCAGACGCCGAACGUGGCCGUAGCACCGAAUGCGGGUGGUGGGGCUGGUGCGGCCAAUGGGGCCGGUGGCAAUUUGGAUCCGUUCACGGGCGGAUCAAGCUACACGACCGGAUCGACCGAGGUGAAGAAAAGCAACACACACUUCCCGCACCGGCAUUACAUACUGCUGGAGAAUGCCGACCUGUCGAAGGUGCUGGUAAAGUUGAAAGAGCUGAACGGCAACAUCGAAGAUCAAAGCCUUCGCCUGUCGGACGAAACGCUCAACGAUAUUGUACGGUACGCGGGCGAAGUAAUGACCUGCGGGGAACAGAAUUCGGCGUGCCUUACCGCACUUAAGUUCCUGUACACCACCUGGCCGACGGAGAAACUGUUCCCCAUCAUGGACAUUACGCGGCUGAUCGUGCGUGAACCACGCGCCUGCCAGGAGCUGUUCGAGGACGCCUCCUUCAUGGAAACGUUCCUGCAGCACACGAACCAUUUACCGGCCAACCAGCUAAUGUCUGCCCGUUGCUUCACCAACAUGCUAGCGCACCAGCCGGGACGCAACGUGGUGGUCGAAAACAUCCGCACCAUUGUGGAUCGGUUCGGGUCGGUGCGUGGUGCUGGGUGCAGCGCAAACCUGCAGAUUGCGCUGGCCAGCUUCUAUCUGAAUCUAACCAUGACUCAGCUAGACAAACUGUCGUCGGUGGAAUUUUGCAAGGUACUGGCCGGUACGACCGGUGAGCUGCUGUGCUGGCUCACCGACAACGAGGCAACGUACCGUGGGUAUCAGGCGCUCGGCAAUCUGCUUAGCAUUCCCGGCCCGGGCAUGGGUGCGAUCGCCGAAACGCUGAAGGCGAACAGUGCCCUGACGGACAAGAUACUGUUCAACAUUAGCAGCGAGCUGCCAAACUUUGGCAAGCUAAACGACUGUGCUAGCUACCUGUACGAGCUGCUGCUGGUGUAAUGCGGACGGAGCGUGGUAGGGCUUGCACGACCAAUGCUCAUCGUCGGUACACUCUUUCAAUUAGCUUCGAAUAACGUAACGAGUGGCCUAAAUGGGGAAGUUUCUUCUUCCGGGGGAACCACAUGUAUCAGGAAAGUUCAUCACUAAAGAAGUCCCUUCAACUUGUCCUGGAACGGGACUCGCAUGCCUAUAAUAAUAAUGUCUCCAGAACUGCUCCAAAGUCUAGACUCAUAACAAGAAGUGAAUAAAGUUGUUAAUUAAAUUUAUUUUUAUUUCGCA